AAUUCUCAACUUCAAAAGUUUAUUCUUUUGAAGCUUGGAUGUUGGAGGACUUGCAGGCAUAUAUUCAAAUGUCAGCUCCUCUUAAAUGCAUUAGCAGAACUUGUACGUUCGGCUCUGGUUUGAUAAUACUAUCUAUGCCAUUGCUGAAAGGUCAUUUGUUCAGCUUCUAAUGGUCUUUUGGAGGCAUUAUCUUUUG
rnacentral:misc_RNA from 1 species